UUUGUGCAGCUACUACACAAGAUCAUGGAGAGGGGGGAGUCCACUGCAAAUUCCACUCAUGUAAGCUGUCUCCAGCUGUCACUAGAGGAAUUGAAAAGCAAGUCACCAUCACAGGCAAAAGACUGUUCUGUAACAUUCCAGCCUCUUCAGCAACAUUUGUCAUCAGCAUGUGUUUUUGGCAAGUAGCUCCACUGAGGCCUGGCCGAGUGCUGAUGACACUUUGAAGUCAACAGGAGCAUAAGGUGGCAGUAAAACAUAAUGCACAGAGCACUGAACUGGGACUCGCAACAUCAGGUCCUACCAAGGCAUUAGAUGCAAUCUGGAUUCUCUUAGCCUUAGUUUCCUUCUGUGUAAACAGUGGUGAUCUCAUUUGUGAAGCUCUUUGACAUCUGCAGAAGUGCUGUAAGAAUACUUGCUUGCUAUUAUGUAUAUCUUUAAAACAAAGCUUAAUGCUUCAGUGCUUGGCUGCGUUGGGGUGAAUGCAUUUAGCACUCUGUGUGAUGAGACAGUAGAUUACAUAGGCAGUGGUUUGUAAUAAGCGCCUUAUCGGUAGUAAAACCCCUUCUGUCAUUAUCAGACAAGCAACAAUCAUAUUCUAAAAUGGUUGCCAAAUGUGUUUAUUUGAAGAUGGUUUUUUCUAGCAUGGCUCAAACCAUUGUGUGGCAAGUGUUCAAUUGCUUCCCGCUAAAGCCAACAUUUAUAGCUCAGAAAACUCUGUUAGAUAAAUGUCAGUUUCUGCCAUAAUUUGUGGAAUCAAUAGAAACUGAGUCAAAGAAUCACAAACAGUAAUGUGAAAAUAAAAUGAUCUGUGUUAUGGUUUUUAAGUAAAUGAUGAUAAACUAAUAAAUGCCAUUAGCUGCUGCCAUUA